rnacentral:rRNA from 1 species
AUUGAACGCUGGCGGCAUGCUUUACACAUGCAAGUCGAACGGCAACAGGUUAAGCUGACGAGUGGCGAACGGGUGAGUAAUGCAUCGGAACGUGCCCGGUCGUGGGGGAUAACGCAGCGAAAGCUGCGCUAAUACCGCAUACGAUCUGAGGAUGAAAGCGGGGGACCGUAAGGCCUCGCGCGAUCGGAGCGGCCGAUGUCAGAUUAGGUAGUUGGUGGGGUAAAGGCUCACCAAGCCAACGAUCUGUAGCUGGUCUGAGAGGACGAUCAGCCACACUGGGACUGAGACACGGCCCAGACUCCUACGGGAGGCAGCAGUGGGAAUUUUGGACAAUGGGCGAAAGCCUGAUCCAGCAAUGCCGCGUGCAGGAAGAAGGCCUUCGGGUUGUAAACUGCUUUUGUACGGAGCGAAAAGGUCUCCUCUAAUACAGGGGGCUCAUGACGGUACCGUAAGAAUAAGCACCGGCUAACUACGUGCCAGCCGCCGCAGUAA